rnacentral:rRNA from 1 species
AGAACGAACGCUGGCGGCAUGCCUAAUACAUGCAAGUCGGACGAACACUUCGGUGUUAGUGGCGCACGGGUGCGUAACGCGUGGGAAUCUGCCCUUGGGUUCGGAAUAACAGUUGGAAACGACUGCUAAUACCGGAUGAUAUCGAAAGAUCAAAGAUUUAUCGCCCAGGGAUGAGCCCGCGUAGGAUUAGCUAGUUGGUGAGGUAAAGGCUCA